rnacentral:tRNA from 1 species
AGCUCAGUUGAUAGAGCGCUCCACUGAAAAUGGAGAGGUCCCAGGUUCGAACCCGG